AGCCCCGAGGUGUGACACGUCAGAUUGCAAACCUGAAGAAGCAGGCCUAACCGCCCGCCGGGGCUU
rnacentral:tRNA from 1 species